AAUAGAGGCGGGCGCGCGCCCCGAGGCUUCUGCUCCUAUUUUGCCUCAUCCGUUUAGUGAGAAGCGAGAAGGGAGGGAGGAUGUGACCAGGUCCAGAAAUGAGAAGUAUUUCAGAAUCAGGACACAUCUUACCAUCAUUGUGCCUUAAAAUCAAGUUUGGCAGAAGAGGAAGCUGGAGAUCUCUCCAUGAGGAAAGGCCACGUGAGGACCCAGCAAGAAAGCAGAUGUCCACAAGCCAGGAAGUGGAAUUCCAUCAGGAACCAAAUUUGCUGGCACCUUGAUCUUGGAUUUCCCAGCCUCCAGAAUUGUCAGAAAUAAAUAUCUGUUGUCUAUGGUACUUUGUUAACAACAACCUGAGCUAAGACAGUGUGCAAGCACUGAAGCUGAACACACACAUACCCUCUGACCCAGCAAUUCUGUUCGUGCAUGCAUAUAUGAAAAACCAUGUAUAAGAAUGCUCACAACAGUAUUAAUUGUAUUAGCCCCAAACUAGAACAUUCCAAAUGCCCAUAGCACUAGAGUGGAUUAAGCAACAUGGAGAAGAACAAACUAUUGCUACACAACAACAUGAAUGAAUCUCAAAAACUUAAUAUUUGAAAAAAAGAAGCCAACUUCCAAAGAGGACAUAUUGUGUGAUUCCAUUUAUAUCAAAUUAAAUAAUCACACAUGCUAAACUAUGGGGGCAGAAGUCAGGAAAGUGGUUCACUUUGGAAGAUAAUAACAAGGAGGGGACAUAAGGUGGCUACCAAGGUGCUAGUAAUAUUGCUUUUCUGGGUUACACAAGUUUGUUCACUUAGA